AGAAGAAGAAGAAGAAGACGCAGAGUUCCCGCUUCAUUGCGUUUGUGUUUUAGUUUAUUUUUCUUCCUCAUCUAAAGUGAAGCACUAAGCUGAUCAGCAGGAGGAGAAGAGUCUGACGGAGCAGCAGAGGAACAUUUAAGCUACUUGGACUCAACUCAGCUACUGUGGAGAAAACAAUGAGUUCGACACAGAAGGACCAACAUGGACCGAGAAGUCAGCGCUCUCAGGAGGCCGACAAACCUCACAGAA